UGGGGAAUAUUGCACAAUGGGCGAAAGCCUGAUGCAGCAACGCCGCGUGAGUGAUGAAGGUCUUCGGAUUGUAAAGCUCUGUCUUUUGGGACGAUAAUGACGGUACCAAAGGAGGAAGCCACGGCUAACUACGUGCCAGCAGCCGCGGUAAUACGUAGGUGGCGAGCGUUGUCCGGAUUUACUGGGCGUAAAGGGUGCGUAGGCG
rnacentral:rRNA from 1 species